rnacentral:lncRNA from 1 species
UUCGGAAAGGGUGAUUUCUAGAAUUUUCUUCACCAUUCUUGCUUGGGUAAGCUCCAAACUCAUCUUCCCAUUAAAUUUCAUUGAUUUUAUUUUCAAAAUAACUUAUUUUCUUGAUUUCAAAAUGUAUUUUUGAAUUUUUAAUCGAUAAGGCUUUAAAUUGAUAUUUCUUUGAGUUGAUCCACGUUUUAAACUCAUUGUCAUAUGGAUUUUCAACUGUAGACUCCUAUUGCUAUGGGAAACAUAAUUCUAAAAUAAAAUUAUGGUUAUACCCCUUUCAGUUUCAAGACUGUUUUUCGAACAAAUUUUGGAACCAUCCUAAAAUUAGUCGAUAUGAGUAUCAUUGGAUUCCUUUUAAUGUAUAGAUGAUACUUUUGAUAGUUUUAUCUUGUGUGACCAUUCGAGAGGUUAAUGCUCCACAAUGAAGAUUCUAGGUUUGGAUUUCUACUUUUCGAGGUAGGUUAUGACUUAACUUUCUUUAGAAUGGAUUGGGUAGUUAAUAAACAUGUAAAGUAUGCUAUAGGCUAGGAAAUUAUCAUAGGAUUUAUAUUUCUAGAUCAUUAUUAUUAUCGCAUAUAUAUAUAUAUAAUAAAUAUAGAAUUACCACAACCCAUAACAUACUUUAAAUGCCUUGAAAUCAUCGUAGAUGAGUUCAUAGGUAUAGAAAGAAGCUAUGAAAUCACAACCCAUAGCAUACAUUACAUGUUCUUGAUUUAUAGCCUCAACCCUAGAAAGAGGGUAUUUAUACACUCAUAGAUUUAUAAAAUACCACCAUAGAUGAUUUCAUAAAUUAAAACUACAAAGAGGAUAAAGUAAAAACUAAGAACCCUAAUGUAGAGCCCUUGACGCCUUAUUUUCUCUCCAAUUAUUUGAUGAUCCAAAGAUGUCUUGUAAUUGUGGAUAAGUGCUCUUUAUAUAGCCCUCAAAUACAUGCAACCAAGUUCCAAAGGGAGUAUAUAUAUAAUGACAAAUAAACCCUCAACUUUAACCAACAUACAAAGGGAUUAGAUAUAAGGACAAAACAGCCCCUCAACUUAAACCAAAAUAAAACCUAACUUUUAGACGUGUUUGAAGGGUGUGCGGCAUGCAACUGAGUUCUAGUUUAGGGGUCAAGUUUUGUGUCUUAUUUGGGAGCCAAAACAGUAGCUACUAGAAGUAUAGUGUGUGGCACAAAGGUGAUAUCAAGAUUUGGAGGGCGUGGUGCACCAUGUUCUCCACAACAUGCAAUUUCGUUCAAUGUUUGUUCUAUGCUUCUCAUCUAACUUGUUCCUUGUUUCUCCACUCAUCAUGGCUCAUGUAGCUUGUGUGCAGGACUUAUUUACUUCUAUAUAUGCUUCAAUUCUCUUCUAAACAUCUCAUAACAAAAUUCGUUUACAACACGAUAAAACUCAUUGAAAAUACAUGAGAACAGGCAUAACUUAGCCCGAUUUAACUAAUUAUUGCAUCUAAUCACGAUUUGAUCAUUUUGACUCUUGAAUUGAUUCAAACACAGCUAAAACACUCAAAACAUGAAUAUAGCACAGACAGACAAAAAUAACCCUAAAUAUGUACAAAAACACGCCAAGUUAUCCUCAAAACUAAGCUUAAAUGUGGGUAGAAGUUUGCUAAUAAGUGUAUACUUGCACCUAUGAUCACAACCUCACAUUUAAAGCUUUGUUCUUCCUCGAACAACUCAUUACACUCAUCUACAUCAUGGAGGACUCUAACAUAACCAUUUGAAACAAGACACUCAAGCUAGCACUACAACGACUAUCAUAGGUAGCAAGUUCACAACAAGCAUGUAACAUAAUCAACUUCAAAUACAUGAAUGACUACUCAAACCCUCCUAGACUCAAGAAUUUACUCCACAAAAUGAGAAAAUUCAUGAAAAUUUCUCAGUCAAAAAAUCAUAUAAGUCAUCUAUCCAUCAUUAAGCCUUCGCCCUAACCACAAGAAAUUUACCCAUAUUCACUCACAAAUAUGCAAUUUAUCACAAGGAUGGAUGUAGUAAUCAAGUUCCGCUCAUUGUCACAAGUAAUUCACGUGUCACAAAAGAUGAACCAUGAUCUAUCCCUUAGUGUAGUACUCCUCUAAUAUAAUAAUAUCAAAGCUCAAGAUCAAUAAGGACUCUAAAGGUUGUAAUGUAGGCUAAGGGAUGGGUAGGAACUAUUUUUGUCAAGAAUAUUGACUAAUUUUCCCAAGCGCUUUAAUACAUCAUAUUUUUCAUUAAAAUCAUCUUCAACCAACCUUAUUUUCACCACUUUUAUCUUCCACAACUCUCUUUUGUUUGCCCCUUUCUCUUUAGGCUAGCUUACAAUUCUUCAGAUGUGAUUACUUGUAAUCAACACAUGAUUCACUUAUUUUGAUCAAUUUUUUUCAUUAUAUUACUCUACUCCAACAACACAUAAACUUUUUAAACACACCCAUAGACUAUCAUUUUGGGGCUUCAACUUCACUUUUUCUUUUCUUUAACUUUACACUCCUUAACAUCUUAAUUUUUUACAACCAAAGUACUUAGGAGUUUUAGAUUAAAUUAUGGUUAAUUGAAAGAAAUGGAAUAAGCUACAUAUGAGGAUAUCAAUUAAUAGUCUAAAGGCUUAAUGGGAUGACUAAGAUCAUGCAUUAUGAGUAGAUAAAGAAGGUAUAAAAUGACUAUCAAAGAAAUGCUUAUAUCAUCUCCUAAACUGAACAUUCUUUAUUUAACUUUAUAAACACCGAAAAAGUUCUAGACAUCAUUAUGCAAACAUGGACUACAAAAAAACCUUACACAUAUAUGGCACAUGUUCAACUCAAGAAGGAUCCCUACAAACUCUCAAUCAAGUAACUACAAGAAUUCAAUUAAAUCUAAAAUCACAUAAGAUCCAAAUAACUGAGCCUAGGUGUCUCAAAAAAGUAAUUCAAUUCCUUAACAUGCUUUUUACUUUACAAAACUUGCAUCAUAUAGUCAUGUAUCCUAACACGAGCACCUAUCAUCCAACAAGUGAAAGGGUUUUAGUUAUUAAACCCUAAUAACUAAAUUUCCCUCAAGAUGGUCAUUGUCCAUCCAUCAUCGGAAAAAGUCCUUAAACUAUCACUAAUAAUUUUAAAUUUUUCUCUUAAAAAAAAUAGAUACCGGUACGAAAGGCACCCCUUGAAAAUGAACCGAAAAGAAAAACCAAGGAGUGAAUGAAGUGUGCUACUACAAAAGAAAAACAACUAAAACUUAACCAACUAAGAAUUAAAAUUAAACAUAAAAACAAAGACUCGGACUCUUAUAACAUCACUUCAUCCUAAACACAUCAUAAGAUUUCCCAUCCCACACUUAAAAUCAUACUUUAUCCCAAAGGUACAAUUUAAAAAUAAAGAAUAAAAAUACUCGUUGAGGCCUCUAGGCCAAGCUAAUAGUAUCAUAUCCAUCAAUAGGUCUGAAGGACUCCACACUCAGUAUUUUACUUGCUUAUUAGUUUAGAUCUCAUGUACUCAGUCUUUCCUUCAACCUCUAAACAUCAAAUAAAAAUAAAACCAAAGGUGAUACUAAAGAAAAUAAAAAAUAAUAACAAACUAUAUUAACUUGGGUUGCCUCCCAAGAAAUGCCUGAUUUAUUAUUAUGUCACGAAUCACAUUAUAACUAUCCUCCUCAACCUCACUUUAUUUUCCAUCUUUGGGCCCAUGUUCUCCUUCUUUUUUGAACUCUUGAUGUUCACACUUUAGUAUUGCAACUUUUUUCACAUUCACCUUUUUAUGAUCCUAUUCAUUCUUUUCAAGCUUAGGCUUAUAAAUAAAAUUAGGCAACUCUAUGAGAGAGUUCAAAGAGGUAAUUAUAAUAUUUCACUCCCUUAUCUCACACUUAUUCACUUCCAUAACUGAAAUCAUGCAUAGGUCUUUGUAGUGUGAGGGUGUCUAAGGAAUUAGGUGUUAAGUAAUUUGUACACUUUGAAAACCACCAUUUCAUAAUUCAGUCUCAUAUUGAAUGUGCCUUCGUUUAUUUCUUUCAAAGCUCAACUGGUAUCCAAGAAAGGACGUCCCAGUAUAAGUGGUACCUUGUAUUAUGCAUCAUGGGUAAGAAUAGUAAAUUCAUAAGGAAUAAAGAAAUUACCAAUCUUAAUGAGAUCAUCUUUAAUAGUUCUUUUGAGGACCACUCAAGUUCUAUUUGCCACCUAUAGCACAAAUGAGGAGGGCCUUGGCUUCCCUAAAAUAAGAGUAGUAAACACUGAGAGGGGCAUUAAGUUAAUGCUUUACCCAAAUCACUCAGAGCCUGCACAUUGUCACCUUUAUCAAAUUAUAUGGGAAGGGUGAAACUCGUAGGUUCCUUGAGAUUUUGAGUCAUUUUGCUUAUAACCUCAAAGUUUUACUCCUUUGUAAGUACCACUGUCUCCAUAAUUCUAAGCUUCUUCUUGUUUGAACCACAUCAUUCAAAUAUUUAGCAUACUUAGACAUACUCUGUAAAACAUCUAACAAUGGAAUGUUAAUGUGUAGUUCUUUGAAUAUGUUGAAGAACUUCUUAAAACAUGCAUAUUCUUGUGCUUUCUUGAGCUUUUGUCAAAAUAGAGGUGGUGGUCAGUUUGGUACUUUCUUUGCCGUCUUACUAAUAGGAUACUCAAAAUUCCCCUACUUCUCAGCUUCUUUUCCAAGUGAUUACCACAAACCAACUCUUUUUCCACCUCAUAAUUCUUCUUUGAGGGUUCAUCUAUCAAGUCUCUACUACUCCUUAGGGUUAUUUCCAUAGCAUACUUUGGAUUUUUCUCUAUAUCACCUGGAAAUCCCCCUUGCGUUCUUAUAUUUUGAUCUUAUGCCAACUUUCCAACUGGAUUCUCUAGAUUCUAGGUGACAAGUUUCUAAUUUUUUAGCUCUGCAUCUAGUUUUUCUUACCCAGCCUUAAUUUCUUUAGCAUCUCUUCAACAUUACUAGACUUAGCUUGCUGUUGAAAUUUUUGGUUUAGAUUUCUACCCCAUACAUAGUCGGGCUUAGUCUAUAAAUUUUGAUUAUAGGAGUUACUAAAAUACUUUCCCCUUUGUGCAUUUUUGAUCCAUGCCCAAACUACGCCUCUAAAUUAAGGCUGAAGUAGUCGUAGUUAGAGUAGUAACCCAACUAAGGUUGGGGUUAUACCUACAAGGACUACAAGUGUAGUAUCUCUUUUUUGCUGGAAUCAACGGGUAAAUGCGAAAAGUAAAUAGGGGGAUUUGUAGUAUAAAGUAACCGUAAGUGACUGGUUGCUGCUUUUGGUUGAAAUUAAUUAGAAACGAACACUAGGAUUGUGUUUCCCUUGGCAUCUCAAAUCCAUAGGUUUAUCGUGCUAAAAUGAACCAACAUAGUACCUUCCAUGAAAAAUCUGAUAAGUUAUGUACCAUCAACUGUCUUGUGGACUCAUUGAUGGAUUUCACCUUUUUCUUUUUGAGUCUUGGAGUAUCGCUGUAGUAACCCUUAUCCUAGAUCCCAAUUACCUAUAACAUUGUAGGUCUUAAGUUAUUAGAUGAAACUAAUUGGCUUAAGAAGAUAAUACUAGUAAGCUUAUUUUAGCAAUUAACUCCAAAUUACUGUUGUCAUUAUCUUUUCCUAGUCCCUACUUCCCUUUUGGAGUGAAUAUGAAUAUCUAGGCGGGACCCUAAUGUUUGCAUUCUCUAAGAAAACUAUUACACUAAAGAUAAUACAAUACAUGCAUGGGUAAUUAUUCAGGACACUUCGUAUUUCACCUACUUCAUGAAUCGUCAGGGUUUCUUGUAACACCCUGAUUUUUUGAACCGGAAUGCUACACGGUGCUUAUGACCCUGAAGAACCACAAGCUAACCCAUGAAUGAUAUCUGUACCUGUAUACUACAUAAUAUAACAUAAAAAUGUAGAAACAUGUACUGAAUGGCCAUAAGGUUCAACUGAAUAAACAUCUGAUAAGAACAAUAUCUAAAAAUGGUACAAUAAUACCAAACCAAAUAUGAAAUAACUGUUUGAAAUGCUAUAGUCUGGAAAGCCUCUAACUAUCUAAAUAAGGAGUUGAUGGGACAUGUCCCCAACUAACUCCAACUACUGAAAUAAACUGAAAACUGCAAUAGUAAUGAAAUCAUCGUAUUCUCGAAAUAUGAGGACUUACUUCUAACUCUGACUGCUGAUACUGGAAUCUAUUACUGAUCUAGAUAUCGUGCCUCUAAACCUAUGGUGUAACAUAAGAGAAAACACCAUAGUGAAAAUGCGUCAGUAUGACUAAAUGUACUGAGUAUACGAGUGAUGUAGGCUAAAUGCAAAGGGUUAUAUGCAUGAACAAUGCUGACUAAUAUGAACGUGAGAAUACUUACAUACAUGAGAAACUAUAAUUGAACUUGUGAUGAUACUGAAUACUGAGUCUGAAUACUGACAUCAUGACUUCACUGACAAUCACUAAUAAGUGAGGGACUAGUGCUAUUUUACUGAUACAUAAAUAACUGUGUAUGACAGUCCUGAUUAUAAAGGACUAGUUCGGUCGACUGUAUUUGACAGUCUAAUUAUAAAGUAUUAAUCUGAUUGACUGUAUCUGGCAGCCAUGAAUAUGAGAAAUUGAUAUGCUUGACCGUAUCUAUCAGUCAUGAAGAUAGAUACUGGUAAUAUGAGUUUAGAGAACUGGUAAGAAUGAUAACAUGAGUGGUUGUAUCUUACAGUCCUGAAUAUGGUGGAACUAGCUGAGUUCCAUAUUGUAUCUGAGUUUACUGUAUCUGACAGUCGUGAUAUUCUAAAGAACUAUCUGAGUCUAUUAUUGAAAUUAAGAUUGAGACUGAAACUGAGGCUAUAGGAGGUAAUCAUCUAACCGACAUACCCCAAAACUGAACUGGUGGGGUCCAAUAUUUACCCUGAUUGGAAGGGUGUCAAUACCACCAUGGGUAGAGAUAACAUGUGAGUAACCCCAUUCUGUUUUUAAGAGCUCAUUCCGUCUGCCCUACAAUCAGGUAAACUAAAAAAAAUGCAUUAGCCCUAUGGGUAGGGACAUCUCAACCUACGCUAGCUAUGUAGUUUUGGAAUGCAAGGAUUGCUUCAAGGAAUCUCACCCUCUGACUGUGGCAGGUGAGUCCCCAUCCUUGGGUUCACUUGAUGCUGAAUCCUACUCCCAACUGAAAGACAUUGAACUGAACUGAUUAACUGAACUGAUAUUAGUAGGAUUGUUUAACGGAGCUAAACCUAUUUUACUGGAUUUCAAUGACUAACAGAAUGUACUGAGUUCUGAGGACUGAUUGAGAGUACUGAAUUUACUGAGAUUAACUGUGAAUACUGAGGUUGCUGAGGUUACUGAGCAUUGAGAUUAUUGAGAUUACUGGGUUUUCCAGAGUCACAUGACUGAUUUCUAUAAAUCAUGGCUUGAAUGAGAGUAUCGUGAAAACAUGACAUGGCUCUAGGCAUACAACUAUAUUUUUCGGGUACAAGUACCCCCAGGAAUCGAUGGAAACAUACUGACUUGAUCGUAAGAAUAAUAUUUACUAUUCAUAAUACCAUAAAUAGGGGAUUUCAUACUACAUAUGGUUAUCAUAUUCUUGAACAUGGAAGAUACUGCAUAUAACUUGUACAUACUUGUAUGUUUCUAAUUUCAUGAGCAUUCCAUAGUACAAGAACAAUACAUGACAAUUUGCAUGGAAUUCAUGUUGAGUCAUAAGGGAUAGAGCAUAGGCUUGUCUUUUAAGUUCUAUUUAGCUAAAAUACAUGAUUUCUAGUCUCUUAGGUAUUUUAUCAAACACCUUGCAUGCACCACUUUGGGCAUAGGUUUAUUCAUGAAUUCAACCCCCCAAAUCACCCAAAGUUCAUAUAUUUCAACUAACAUGCCAUCCUAGUUUCAUACAAACCCAUAAAGAUUCUAUCUUGACAUCAUUCAGCACAUAAACAAGAUCAACAAUCAAAUCAAAACAUAAAAAAAUCAUGGCAUAUAGUUUAAAAUAGGGUUCUUGGACUUCAUGGAUGAAAGAAGUCCAUGAAUGAACACACGCAUACGUUUGUUCUUGAUUUAGUGAAGAUUGACGGAGAGAUUCUUGAAAUUUGAUGGUAGAAUUUGCUUGAACAUAAAUCCUCCAAUUGAAACCCUAAUGUUUUCUUGAAAAGAUUUUGAUAAAAAAGAGCAUGUUUUGGUGAAAUAACGUCUUAAUUCCAUGUUUGAGAGCUUAUAUAGGGGUGGGAAGAUGACCCAAAUACCCCUCUAGACGCGUCUUUUAAUUUCUGUAAAAAUUUCCCGAUUUGGGCCCCUGGCGCGAUGUGGAGACAUUAUUUUGCCACUUGUUUAUGACUUGGAAACUCACCGAGAUGCUGUGGAAUCGCGAAGAGACACUCAAAAUUGACAAGCGUCAUUUUUUCUUAUGGCUCAAUGCGCCACUGACUGAAGUGACACUGUUGAAACUUUAAAUCGCCAUAACUUCUUCACCGGGUGUCCAUUUUAGGCAAAUUUGGUAUCGAUGGAAAUUUUAUUUAAUUCUAUACAAUUUGGAGGGUAUGAAUCUACCAAAAUACCACCUCUAAACCUAGUUAUUCUCGUUCAAAGAUGACCUAUGUGAAAUCACACACGGAAAUUUAGUGGAUUCAAAAGCUCUUAGCUUGGUUUACUCUAAGUGACUCUUAUGAACAUGCUUAACACCCAAUAAGAUCUAUUAUCACUAGGAUACUCAUCCUAAUUCAUGUACUCAAAUAUGAAUCACAAGAUAGGAGGUUUCAUGCGCAAGAACAAUGGUUUAUUUUCUAGCUUAGAAAUAUAUGGGGUAUUACAACAUCUCCCCCUUGGGAAUAUUCAUCCUCGAAUGAGACUUACUGAGAGGGGAAACAAUAAGCUGAACAUGAACUGGACAUAAAUGACUAAAACAUGAUCUCAUGACUUACGUGACUAAUAAAAUGAUUCAUACUGAACAUGCAUAUCUGAUGCAUGGGUAGUUGAUUUAUGAAUGAAGGACUGAGUGUUCUAAUGAACUAAGUUUCCAAGAAUAGGAAUGCAUAUCUGAUGCAGAGAUUGAUAAGCUGAAUCCAUGCAUAUCUGAUGCAUGAUUAUAUGACUGACAUAAUACAUGAAUGUAUGAAUGAAAGUACUGAUAAGUUGAUCAUGCAUAUCUGAUACAUGAGUACACGACUAAACUGACUCAUGAACAUAUGACUUAACAUGCAAUGGUAAAGACGCCAAGUUUGAACUGAAAACUGAGCAUAGAAUGGAAUACCAAGUUUGGUACUAAAAUCUGAACAUGAGAAUAAGUAAGCUCAAAGAAGACUAUUACCUUGAACCAAACAUAUUGAUGAGUCUGAGAUUAAUUACUCAAUAUGCAUGAGCGGAAACAUAAGAACAUAACUAAGUCUGGAACGUGAUACAUGAACUAAAUUGAGUCUGUAAUGUAUGAAAUGGAUAGAGUAUCUUAUCAUGGACUAAACUAAGCUGUUGAGUACAUAGUUAAGACUGAGAUUUGGAGAUAAAGGGUCAACUUAUGAGUAUCCCUACUCCAAACUAGAUUCAUUACAUGAGAAGAGAAUGGGACGCUUAUGUUAUGAAAGUUUGGGGGAUCAUAGCAUAGCUCCCCCUAGGGACACUAGGCCCCCCUCUAUGAAUACUGUCUUGGCUGAGCUACUGAGGGAAACUAAGGUGAUACGCAAGGCAACUAGGAACUAAAUCAUGAAUGAUUAUCUGAGAUCUGAAACUUGAGGCGUGAUACAUGAUCUAAGAUGAAGAAACUAAACUUCAUGCACUGCAACUAAGACAACUAAAAGAUUUAUGAGGUGUUGAGCACGACUGUAUGAAUAUACUAACUUAUCUGAUUAACUGAAUAACGGAUAGCUGAAUACUGGGCAUAUGAGACUUGUCUGUACUUAGUCCAAAUAAUUGGACUAAGGCUGUAGAAUAUUAUGCAUAGGAGGUAAUGAUUGAUUGGAUAACAUGAGGUAAUAGAGUAUGAAUGAGCAAAACUGUAUCACAUCAAGAAUACAAGGCUAGGCGUAUAACAUGAUUUGGAAACAUCCUGUAGACUAAGGUACUAAAAUACUACUGACUGAGUAACUGAUAGUUGUAGCUUGGGUCAAGCAAGUCUGGAACUGAACUGAGUUUCUGAUCUGAUUACUAAACUGAAGUUGGCACUAAAACUAAAACUGUAACUGAGAUUCUUACUGGAACUAAACGCUGGGUUUUGAUAACUGAAUGCUGAUAACUAAGGUUUAGGAUGAUAUUGAAAUACUAAAUUUUGGAACUGAACACUGAUUACUGGGUACUGAAUACUGAAAUUGUAACUAAGAUAGCAACUGAGUUUCCAUAGUACGCGAUAGGGGUUGACAUAAGUCAGGGAUCUAAAUAUACAUUCACACUCUGUACUUCCCUAUCUUCUAAAUACAACCUCAUGAUAACCACUUGCUUGGACACUAACAUGGUAUUCAAGCCUAUCUUCGUAACUAUCCCCCCGUAUACAGUAAGCAUGCCACAAUCUUCUCUCAACAUGAAACACAUUGUAUCUCCCAUCUAAGCAAAUGCGCAUCACUACAAUGUUCCAUAAGGAAAGCUUACUGGAGGAUUACAUCAGGAGAACCUGAAACAUAAAUUGGCACUGACUGAACUUAACACAUGGCUGAAACCUGAGGAAUAGAAUGUCACCAUCAUGAAUUUACCAAAAAGGUAUGAACUGAGGAUAUACAUGACAUAGUAUGAAUUUAUCUUUUCUGUAGGGGCAUAACAUGAGUCAUGGAAACUGAAUAUACUGUAAGGAAUGACAUGUGUACAUGAGUCAUGAGCUGCAUGACUUGAGUCUAAAAUUUUUGAAUUCGUGGGACAUGAUUCGUAACACUGAGGGAGAUAAAACUCCUUAUGCAGGGAACUGGAAGCACACAAGAGUCUAGGAGAAACAUGUAAAUAUAAGCUGUGCUCAUGGAACUGAGUUAUGAAACAUGUGUAGGCAUCAUGCUGACUGAAGUACAAAACUUGUACGAAGAUAAGGAUGGAUCAGGAAUCGUCUUCCCUUAUUGAUCUUUCUAUACAUACUAGCAAUACUACUGGAAUUCUGAGAGCCUAACUUGGUUACUUGAUCUAUCAUCUCCCCCUUGACUUUAAGCCAUCAUCUUAUGUCUGUGAAUACUUGACAAAGCUCUAAACUAAACUUUAAUCAUAAUCACAUACUUACACCCUGUCAAACACAUGUUUGCCUUACUAAGCCCAUUAGCUACUUCUGUUGCUUCAUAUAUUACUAAUAUCACAUCCACACCUUUAUACUUAAUUCAAAUCAAUAAACUUAAAUUCUAGCUUACACUGUUCAAGCCUACUGAUUUACUCUGGUACAACUAUCCCCAUGAAUACAUAAUCUAAUCAAACUGGAUAAUACUAUCCCAAAUCUACCACUGUUAACUCCUUAGUUCAUUCUUAAAAAUUCUAGGUCUAUGCUGCUAUAAAAUUUUGAGAAAAGAUCUAAUGGCAUAUCUAAAAUUGGGUUCGUGAACGAGUUCUCAUGGUCAUGAAUGAAAUUUGUAUGGCUUGGAACAUAACGGGAUUGAUGGGGUAUUUCUGAGUCUGUGGGCAAUCCCAUAACUGUAUGCUGGGACUGGUUGAGAAAACUCUAUCUCUAGAAUUUUAAGCAUCACUAUUUCUGUUACCUUAAAAGUAAGGUAGAGUUAACAUGUGUGGAGCAUGAUGAGAAUCUAUAUGAGUUUUCUUAGAAAACUUUUCUAUAGCACGAUCAGAGACAUAAAAGAAGAGAAACUGUUUCUAAAACAUCUCAUAGCCUCCUGCACAUAAGUAUUGUCCACAACACACGCAUGUACAAAACUCUACUAGAUGUGUCUUUCAUACUUUCUAUCACUCUAUUGAACCAUAGGCUCUGAUACCAAGUUUGUAACACCCUAAUUUUCUGAACCGAAAUGCUACACGGUGCUUAUGACCCUGAAGGACCACAAGCUAACCCAUGACUGAUAUCUGUACUUGUAUCCUGCAUAAUAUAACAUAAAAAUAUGGAAACAUGUACUGAAUGGCCAUAAGGUUCAACUGAAUAAACAUCUGAUAAGAAUAAUAUCUGAAAACGAUAUAACAAUACCAAACCAAAUCUAAAAUAACUGUCUAACAUGUUAUAGUCUGGAAAGCCUCUAACUAUCUGAAUAAGGAUUUGAUGGGAUAUGUGACCAAAUAGCUCCAACUACUAAAAUAAACUAAAAAUUGCAAUAGUAAUGAAAUCAUCGUGUCCUCAAAAUAUAAGGACUUACUUCUAACUCUGACUGCUGAUACUGGAAUUUACUGCUAAUUUAGAGCUCGUGCCUCUAAACCUAUGGUGUAACAUAAGAGAAAACACCAUAGCACAAACGCGUUAGUACGACUAAAUGUACUGAGUAUACGAGUGAGGUAGGCUAAAUGCAAAGGGUUAUAUACAUGAACAAUGCUGACUGAUAUGAAUGUGAGAAUACAUACAUACAUGAGAAACUAUAACUGAACUCGUGAUGAUACUGACUACUAAGUCUGAAUACUAACAUCAUGCCUUUACUGACAAUCACUAAUAAGUAAGGAACUAACACUGUAUUACUAAAUACUGAGGGACUAGUACUAUGUUACUGAUACAUAAAUAACUGUGUAUGACAGUCAUGAUUAUGAAGGACUGGUUUGGUUGAUUGUAUCUGACAGUCUAAUUAUAAAGUAUUAAUCUGAUUGACUGUAUCUAGCAGCCAUAAGUAUGAGAAACUAAUAUGCUUGACCAUAUCUGACAGUCAUGGAGAUGGAUACUGGUAAUAUGAGUUCAGAAAUCUGGUAAUAAUGAUAACAUGAGUGACUGUAUCUUACAGUCCUGAAUAUGGUGGAACUAGCUAAGUUUCGUAUUGUAUUUAAGUUGACUAUAUCUAACAGUCGUGAUAUUCUGAAGAACUAUCUGAGUUUAUUACUGAAACUGAGACUGAGACUGAGACUGAAACUGAGACUGUGGGAGGUAAUCAUCUAACCGACAUUCCCUAAAACUGAACUGGAGGGGUCCAAUCUUUUCCCUAAUUAAAAGGGUGUCAAUACCAUACCAUGGGUAGAGACAACACGUGAGUAACCCUAUUCUAUUUUUGGGAGCUCAUUCUGUCUGCCCUACUAUCAGGUAAACUCAAAAGAGAUACAUUAGCCCUAUGGGUAGGGACAUCUCAACCUACGCCGUCUACGUAAUUCUGGAAUGGAAAGAUUGCUUCUAGGAAUCUCACCCUCUGACUGUGGCAGGUAAGUCCCCAUCCUUGGGUUCACUCAGUGCUGAAUUCUACUCCCAACUGAAAGACACUGAACUGAUUAGCUGAACUGAAUUAAUUUACUGAAAUGAUGUUAGUGGGAUUGUUUAGAGGAGCGAAACCUAGUUUAUUGGAUUUCGAUGACUGACAAAAUGUACUAAGUUCUGAGGACUGAUUGAGAGUACUGAAGUUACUGAGAUUAACUGUGAAUACUGAGGUUGCUAAGGUUACUGAGUACUGAGAUUACUGGAUUUUCCUGAGUCACAUGACUAACUGAUUUCUAUAGAUCAUGGCUUGAAUGAGAGUAACAUGAAAACAUGAAAUGGCUCUAGGCAUACAACUAUAUUUUUAGGGUACAAGUAGCCCCAGGCCUCGAUGGAAAGAAACUGACACACAUGACUGACUUGAUUGUAAGAAUAACAUUCAUAAUUCAUAAUUCCAUAAAUAGGGGAUUUCAUACUACAUAUGGUUAUCAUAUUAUUGAACAUUGAAGAUACUGCAUAUAACAUGUACAUACUUGUAUGGUUCUAAUUUCAUGAGCAUUCCAUAGUACAACAACAAUAUAUGACAAUUUGCAUAGAAUUCAUGUUGAGUCAUAAGGGAUAGAGCAUGGGCUUGUCUUUUAAGUUCUAUUUAGCUAAAAUACAUUAUUUCUAGUCUCUUAGGUAUUCAUGAAUUCAACCACCCAAAUCACCCAAAGUUCAUAUAUUUCAACUAACAUGCCAUCCUAGUUUCAUACAAACCCAUAAAGAUUCUAUCUUGACAUCAUUCAGCACAUAAACAAGAUUAACAAUCAAAUCAAAACAUAAAAAAAUCAUGGCAUAUAGUUUAAACAGGGGUUCUUGGACUUCUUGGACGAAAGGAGUCCAUGAAUGAACAUACGCAUACGUUAGUUCUUGAUUUAGUAAAGAUUGACGGAGAGAUUCUUGGAAUUUGAUGGUAGAAUUUGCUUGAACUUGAAUCCCCCAAUUGAAACCCUAAUGUGUUCUUGCGAGGAUUUUGAUGAAAAAGAGCAUGUUUUGGUGAAAUAAUGGCAAUACCCCUCUAGAUGCGUCUUUUAAUUUCUGUAAAAAUUUCUCGAUUUGGGCCCCAAGCGCGAUGCGGAGACAUCGCGUUGCCACUUGUUUAUGACUUGGAAACUCAUGGUGCGCUGUGGAAUCACGGAUAUACACUCAAAAUUGACAAACUUCAUUUUUUCUUAUGGCACGAUGCGCCACUGACUGAAAUGACACUGCCGAAACUUUAAAUCGCCAUAACUUCUUCAUCAGGUGUCAGUUUCAGGCUAAUUUAGUAUCGAUGGAAAGAUUAUUCAAUUCUAUACAAUUUGGAGGUUAUGAAUCUACCAAAAUACCACCUAUAUACCAAGUUAUUAUCAUUGAAAUAUGACCUAUGUGAAAUCACACACGAAAAUUUGGUGGAUUCAAAAGUUCUUAGCUUGUCUUACUCUAAGUGACUCUUAUGAACAUGCUUAAUACAUCAUAAGCUCUAUUAUCGCUAGGAUACUCAUCCUAAUUCAUGUACUCAAAUUUGAAUCACAGGAUAGGAGGUUUCAUGCGUAGGAAUAAUGGUUCAUUUUCUAGCUUAGAAAUACACGGGGUAUUACAUUUCCAUAAUCCUACCUAAGGAUUUUAGCCACUCAUGCUUGUGAAACUACCAAUAAAUUUACGGAUGGAAAACAUUAAAGUGAUAACACAAUAAUCAAUGAUCAAAACCAAAGUUGGAAACUUAAUUAUCAACCGAAAUCACCAAUACAAGAAUUCAAGGAUCACAAUAUGAUAAAGAGUGUAAAAAUAUGUCGAAGUGCAUAACUCCUUCUAAAAACACGGAUAGGGUAUUUAUAGUACAUGAGGAAACCCUAAAAAUCAAAGCCUGAAUAAAAAAGGAAAAAUAGAGUUGGUGGCCACUUACUUGGGCCACAUAUGUCUCGUAUGUACUAUAUACGAUCCACAAGUGGACCCAGGUAAGUGCCAAAAAAUUUUCUUGCUGCUUUGUACUAUCUAGAUUUUGGAUUUUGGUACUUACCUUAGCCAUCUACAGUCCGGAAGUACUACAUACGGUCUAUAAGUGGACCCAGGUAAGUUUCAGAGUCUUUAAAUUCCUACAACCAAGCCUCUGGGCUUCAAAUUCUAGUACAUGCUUUGGUCGCAUACAUCCGGUAAGUGGCACAUAUGCCCAAAAAUGCUCAAGUAGCCAAAAACUUCAUUUUUCAUAUUUUUUUUGAAGUUAGCAUCCAAAAUCUAAUUUCCUGCAAAACAUACCCAAAACACAUCAUAUCUAACAAAAAACCUAAGAAUUAUGCAUACUUUCAUAAUUUUGAGAGUUAAGAGUGCUAUAAAUUUAUAGCACAACAACACCCUCAACUUAGAAGGUUACAUGUCCACAGGUGACAAUACAAAACAAAAACUAAACAUAAUGCUUAACUAGGAUAAUCUAAGAUAUUUAGGGUAGUUAAUCAUCAUCUUAAUUUCAAACUCAUUAUCCCAUCCUAUACCACAAGUGAAAACCAACUGCAUGUAUACAUAAAGCACAAGAGUAUGACACAAAGGAAUAAAGUUAUGGCAAGUAAAUUAGAAAUAUACAGCUAUGCCUAUAUACAAGUCCCACUUAACCAAAUAAGUAUGGAACUUACUAAUACAGUCCAUGUGCCCUCACAUCAAAAGAAGUCCCACUCACUCAUAUAUGAAAUCAAGCAUGUUAAUGCAGGGAAGGUCAAGAAACACUCACACUUAAAAAGAAGUUCCAAUCAAUACAUGUCAAAUACAAUAGGUUUGCCCUUAUGUUCUAUACUAAGCUUACAUACAGUCAAGUCAGGAUCAUUAUAGGACUUUUCUUGGCUUGUAAUGUAGGCUUGGGGGAUUGGUAUGAUAUAUAUGGAUAUCAAGUGACUAAGCCUCCUUGGUACUAGACUAACUUUAGGGUUUCACUUACUAACUAUUUUUUUUUUACUUUAUUCUACCCUUAUUUCUCUCUUUUUAUUUUAAAGCACAUUCAGGUUGCGUGUGAUUUUCUUAUUCUUUCUUUUUCCACUUUUUAUUUUCUUUUAUUUUUGGUUUUUUGUUUUUCUUUUAUUUUUCCUUUCUUCAUACCCAUUUUACAUUACGCACCCCUAUGACAAACACCCUCAACUUAGGAGAUUUACCUGUCCAAGGAGGAACAGGGCCAAAAUAGGUUCAAUUUAACAUAAAUGGGAAAGUGAAAGGUGAAAACAAAGAAAUAGGCUAUAAGUCUCAAAACAGAGAUCAAUGGAUUACUCAUUCAUAUUGGGAAAGUCAUUUUGGCUAAAAGUGGACUUAGAUAAAAAAAAAUGGCCUAUGAUCCUUUCCUAACUGACUAUCCUACAACCCAGACAAGACUAAUUGGAAAAGUCCUAAAUUUAAUACAUAAAGAAAACUAGGUAGUAUUUCACACACACAUGGCACAAGAUUAUAUCACAAAGCUACAAUACAUAUCUGGUUCAUGCAAUUGUUGGCUAUCAUGUCCCUAACACUAAUGUCAUAAUAAAAGGUCACAUAUAUAUACAUCACACACAGUUUAAAAAUAAAAUUUUGGAGGGGUAUCAUUUUUCUCAAGAAUUAAAAUCAAACAUGUCAACUACCCUAAAUACUUAGAAUUCACCUAGUUAUACAACAAAACAUAUCACAACAUGAAACAAAACACAUCAUGAAAUGAAUUAAUCUAGAUAUGUCAAUUUUAUAAUUAUAUUGCGACCGAUAAGAAAAGAAGUAUGACAAUAAAAAGCCACGACAGGUAUGAUAUUCCUACCCCCAACCAAAAGAUUAUGCAUUGUCUCCAAUGUGUAAAACAAAGUAAAACACAGGAAAGUAAGGACAUAACUUGGACGCACUAAGCAUCCGUGUCAUCAUCAACCCUAUGUGAGGGUAUAUCCACUGGCAGAAGUGGUGGCGGUAGAGGUGUACUAUUGGAAGAUGCACCCACUGCUAUCUUGGUAUGCCUCUUCCUAUUAAUGAAAUCAAUCUUCCUGGACUCAUGUUUGGCCCUUUUUAAGGUCUUCUUAAAUGGUAAAUUGGGAUCCUGAAUCUCCCUCGUGGACUCUCAUGGUCCCAACUAUGGGGACCUCCUCCUUCUCCUCUAAAAAUAAAUCAAAAUAUUUGGGACCAUGUAGAGGUAAUGUCUGAACAACUGGGGGUAUGACCGAAGAGAUGGUUAUCAUAUGUCUCUCUAUGACAGAGCGUACCUCUGCUCUCAAAUUAUCCAUCUCCUUUGUAAUGCCUCCUAGAUUCAGUGGCUCAAUCCUUGUGAAUCUGUCUUUUACACAUCUCUUAAAAGUAUCAAUACAUUCCUGUAUAUCAGCACAUAACUGUGACAUAGUAGUUGUAUAUGCUGACUCUCAUCUAGCCUCUACCGUCUCUAAUUUAUUCUAAACCUAUGGCUGGAUUUUGUAAUACAAUGUUGCCACCUUUCUCUCCACACUCUCUAGUCAUCUAGUGGUGGCCCUCUGUCUGUCCACUAAGCUCUACAAAAAUACAUGAGAAACAAUCACAAUACUUGAUGCAACAGCUGAAGUGGAUAGGCGAGUGGGCCCUAAAGAUAUACCAAUCGGCUCUAAGGUAGAAGAUGGGGUUGAUAUGGAUGUCGCUAGGGUCCCCUCACCUUGUGUACUAGACUUAAGGGCCUCUCUCUACUCCCCAUCUCAAAAUAUAUACCUUUUUCUAUAUCUUCUCUCUGUAUAUCACUAAACUCUAUAGAAACUGAAGCACCCUCAGUAUGGGUUUGAGGUACUAUGGCAGGCUCACAAGGUCUUUGGGAAGGACCGAACAUGUUGAGUCCUUUAUCAUCUUUGUAUGUUCCAUGGAGGUCACCUGUACUCUCUCAUUAACUCUCGGUAUCUAUGGUACACUAACAUCAUCACACAGUCUUUGAAUGAGAUAAGGGAAUGGCAAAUUCGUUGUCUUCAUAAAAGAUCUCCCACAAAUCUCGUGCCAAAUAAUGGAUGCAAAGUUAAUGUCGUAUCCUACUAUCAUGCUAGAAAUCAGAGCAGAUCCUUCCUAUGUCAAUACAUUAUCUGAAGCAGUCAAAAAUAGCCUAUGUUUGAUGAGCAACCACCAAAACUUAGCAACAAAAGUUAGUGUUGUCUUCUUUAUUGUGCCCUACCCAUCAAUUCAUGGGGUCUCAUCACAUAAAGGUAAAAUAUAGCCAUCUAUCCACCUCACCAUAUUAACUCUCUCAUGUCUAUGCUUAGCAUCCCUCAUAAUAUGUCUAUCAUGUGCAACACUCAAUCUAUAGUCACACUCUACUGUGGAUGCUGAGGCAAUAUAGUUUGGACCAAAGAGAACUCGGUGGAUGGUUGCCAUUGAAAUAUCAACCAUGACCCCUUUCACAAGGGUAUAGUCAAGCUGGGGUUGUUCAACAUUCCUCAGAAUGCCCUUCCUAGGCAUAUUGAAAGCUACAAUGGCAUGGUAUGAUGCAUAGAAUUCUUGUACCAAAGAUGGGCUAUAAGAACUGAGUGGUCUAGUCAUCUACUCUAACUAAUAAUGAUCAAAAGAUUCUCAUAGCUAUGGUGCUCUACUUAACCCAGAUAGCUCAAUCCUGCGCUCCUCAUAAAUGACCCCCUUGGGUCAUCCUGUCUCAGUAAUAUGACAGUCUAUAUCAAAUACCAUCUGCAUUCCCUCUACACACCAUCUCAGGUUCACCUCCUCAGGAGGUAUCUCCAGAAUAUGUGUAGGGGUGGAACUCUAUCUUUGUUGUAUUGGUGCCUCUGAAUCUAAAUUUGGCACCUGGUGGGAGUAUUGCUUUGUUCUCUCCUCAAAGUAGGGUAAAACUAAUGGCUGCUCAUGAAAUAUGAUCUUAGACUCAUCUUGGGACCCCUUCUCAGACUGGGGGUCCUGAGCAUCAACCUGUGGAACUGUCUCAAUCUCUGCCUCAUUCUCAAUAUUACCAUCAUCCAAUGGAGGAUAGUGUGGGCAUGAUCUCUAGAUAGACUUCACUCUCAACUAAGCUAGAGCUCCCUAGGUGGCCUAGACAGCCUGUAUGGCCUUAGUCUGUGACCUAGUAUGAGUAAAAGUUAGCUUUCUUCCCUACUUUGAGUCAUCUAGCAGCUGUACACUUAUAGUGCCCAAAAUAACAAUAUUAGCUGCCUUACAUAUCUGGCCUCUAGUCACUCGAUGUGUCACCCUGGACACAACUACUCUAAGCUGUAUAAUAGGGUACUCCUCCACCAAGCCACUGGGAUCGAGGGACUUAUCCAGUCUCCUCGAUGAAGCAACCUUCUUUUUUGUAUCUUUAGGAGCCAUGUGUACCUAUCCUACGUGGGACUUAUGACCUUGAUGAGUUUGUCACAACGUCUUCUUACCUAGAAAAUUAUGGAUGCAAUAUUUUACUUCAUUCUAGGUCACUCCAUAAUCUAUAAGCCUAUAAAAACAAAACAAACAAAGUGAAUACUAAAAUAGUGGUUUGCCUCUCACCCAAUGCUUUAUUUAACGUCAUGGUAAGAUGUGGCUAUGUUGGUUACUCUGACUUCACCAACAAUCCCAAUGGUUGACUCCCAUGUAAUGCUUGAUUUAGUGUUGCCGCAUGACAUGGAUAUUUUAACUACUCAAAAUUCAUCAAGAUCGAAAGAAUACCCUUCUGGGUUAUUUAUACAAUCAAUAACUGAUACCACUCGCAUCAGUUGGUUUCUUCAUUGUUCUUCAGACAUUGAAAGUGGCUUUUUCCUUGUUGACUCUGAAUUUAAGUUCCCCCUUUUAUAGGUCAACAAUCGCUCUACCCGUGGCCUUAAAUGGUCUUUCCAAAAUUAUGAGCAUCUCAAAAUCAACUUCACAAUCCAAAUCACACAAUUAACUAGAAAGAUGAGGUGAUCAAAUCUUACCAUCACAUCACAUUAAAUGGCCACAGGCUUCUUGAUAGUGCGGUCAGCCAUCAAUAACUACAUAGUCGUUGGCUCGAGAAGGCUCUAGCCAAAUUGUCUAAACAAGUCCAGCAAUAUCAAAUUUAUGCUGGCCCCUAAGUCAAUGGAGCUGUGGAAAAUUGGGAGGUCCCAAUAGUACAUGGAAUCAUGAACGCACCAAGAUCACUCUUUUUCUGGGCUAGGGAUCUAGAAGUAACUGUACUACAGUGGUGCAGUCCACCCAUGUCCUCAAAACUCGCAGUCCGCUUCUUGGUCACUAAUUCUUUCAUAAACUUAGCAUAACUAGACAUCUACUCCAAUGCUAUGAGGAGAGAGAUAUUCAAGCUCAAGUCUUUCAUAUUAAUAAACUUCUUAAACUUUCCUUCCUUUUUCUUCUAUUUUAGCCCUUGAGGAAAAGGUCUCAUUUACCUCACCCAUACCUUUAUCUUUAUCAGCUUUACCUUUAACACCUAUUGCUUUUUCUGACUCUACUACAAGUGUCUUAUCAAUAACAGCCUCAUCAUUCAUUAUCACUUCAACAUCAGGUAAAGGGGGAUCCAUAGUAGUUAUAUCUCUCUGUGUGGUAAUAGAAAGAAUAUAACCAUUAUUUUUUGGAUUUUGAACAGUGUUACUCGAAAGGGUCCAUGUCUAUCUCUGAAUUAAAGUGGCCAAAAUCUGCUCGAAUCAGUGCUCGAACUGCUUAAUAGCAGUUGUAUAAGACUCAACCUUUUGGGUUAAUCCCGAGAUAUCUACUUUGAUUUCUAUAAGGCUAGCCUCCUGGAUCUCUUGUACUUUCCCCAGUUUUGUCAGCAUCACUUCCAUUAUUAAUUCUGUAUCACGACUGCCUGGUGGAAUGUAUUAUUUCUCUUCUCUUUAUAGCCAUCCCUUCUAUGCCAGUCACCAUCUCUCUCCCUACUGUGAUCUUUGUAUCUAUCAUCAUAAUAGUUUUGACCUUGGUUUCCUUGCCCUUUGGAUUAGAAACCCGCCAGUUGAUGAUCCAGAUACUUAGCCUCCUCUUCUAAUUCAAACUCAUAAUAUUCAAAGGUUGUACCCUGUGUUCCAAAUGCGUUCACCUUUUCAAAUUUUCUGCUAUGAACUACUUCGCCAUCAACCCAAGAUUAGUUCUCAGCAGCACAAUCUCUUAUGCUAUAGAAUUGUAAACUACUCUCUAGUCACUAGUGGAACCAAUAUCAUAAGUACAAGAACUCCUUUCUACCUAGUUUGCCACCUUUGGUUAGUGAGAGAGAUCUGAUAUACAUGUCAGAAGCUACCUCUCAUCGUAGUCUCAUAAAAUCUCCUCCAAAGAUUGUGUUUGCCAUGGCUCUAGAACUAAUGGUUAGGGCUAUGUAGAAUAUCUCUAAUAAGCUCGUCCCUUAAAUCCAAUGGUUUGGAAUCAUACUUAAUUUUUUCUUGAACUUGAACCAAGCCACGUACAUAAACUCAGAUUAUAACUGCCUGAAAUUAUAAAUCUCAUCUUUAAGCUGUAACAUCCUAGAUGGAGGAAAGAACCAAUUCAAGAAUUACCUGCGUAACUCAUUCCAUGUGGUGAUAGAUUCUCUUAGAAGUUUCCCUACCCAAAAAGAUGCUUCUCCUGCUAGAAAUAAAGGGAACAACCUCAAUCUAAGCUCCUCCUAAUUCACCCCUAGAUUUGUAUAAGAACUACAGAUCCCUAUGAAAUUUUCAAGGUGCAUAUUUGCAUUAUCAGUAGGCAAACCCAUAACUAUACCCUUAAAGUUUAAGAGCUGGAUCAUGGCACUAGUUAUAUCAAACUUAAUACCGAGGGGAAAGAUAAGAGAAAAAAUAGCUCCUAUUUUGGAUGGCUCAACAUAUCCUAAGUCUUCAUCCUCCUCCUCAUAUAGUUCUAAGUACUAGUACACUGGAUUACUUGAGCUAGACUAUCUCUAACUUUGUUCUUAUUACCAUUGAGUGAUGCUCGAUGAUCUACUUCCUGUCACUACUCAGCUAGCUCUACCUCUCGAGCUAUAUACUAAGCAUCUUCUUCCCUCCCCUUGUUAGAAACUUGUGCUAAUAGCUCCCAGUCUAUCAAUCAAUAAUGUUCUAAAAUCCAUGUUGAGGGAGAGGCACCUAGUAUGUAUCAUCACGAACCCCUUCAGGAAUGUCAUCUCUCUUAGGCCCUGUCAUCAUACUUGACGAAAGUAAGAUUCUUUCUAGAUUUGGAUUCAAAGGGAGUAAGGGAUUGCCUUAACUCCUUGUUCUGGGCAUACACCGAUGUGUACCCAACUAAGAAUAACUAAACCUGCAAACUUUAGCAACUUCAAUCUACUCAACACCGUAAUCCCUAAGAACGAUGCCAAAAUUUUUAUCUUAGCCCAAAAUACACCUCCAACUUAAGGCUAAAGUGGUUCUAGUCAGUAUAAUAACCCAACUAAGAGUGGGGUCAUACCCAUAGGGACUGCAGGUAUCAUAUCUCUCUUUUGCUAGAAUCAACAGGCAAAUGUGGAAAGUAAAUAUGGGGAUUUGUUGUUUAAAGUAACCAUAAGUAAUUGGUUGUUGUUUUUGGUUGAAUCAAUAGGAGACGACACUAGGAUUGUGUUCCCCCCAGUAUCUUGAAUCCAUAGGUUUGUCGUGCUUAACUAAACCAACCCAGCACUUUGCAUGUAGAAUCUGAUAAGUUACGUACCAUCAACUAUCUUGUAGACUCAUUUACGGAUUUCACCCUUUACCUUUUGAGUCUCAAAGUGUCACUCUACUAGAACUUAUCCUAGAUCCCAAUUAACUAUCACCUUAUGGGUCUCAAGUUUUUAGAUGAAACUAAUUGGCUUAAGAAGAUAAUACUAGUAAGCUUGUGUCGGCAAUAAACUCCAAAUUACUAUUGUCAUUAUCAUUUCCUAGUCCGUAUUCCCUUUUUUUGAGUGAAUAGAAAUAUAUAUGUGGGAUCUUAAUGUUUACAAUUGCAUAGACAACUAUUAAAUCAAAGAUAAUACAAUACAUGCAAGGGUACUAGCUCAGAAAAACUUUGCACUCCACCUACUUCAUUAAUCUGCCAGGGUUUCCACAACCUUAGCUAAGGACUUUAGCCACUCAUUCUUGUGAAACUACUAAUGAAUUUCAUGAUGGAAAACAUUAAAGUAAUAAGACAAUAUUCAAUGAUCAAAACCCAAAGUCAGAAAAUGAAUUAUUAACCAAAAUCACCAAUACAAGAAUUUAAGGAUCACAAUAUGUUAAAAGAGUGUAAAAGUAUAUCAAAGUAAAUAACUACUUCUAAAAAUACAAACAGGGUAUUUAUAGUACAUGAGGAAACCCAAAAAAUCAACGCUUGAAUGAAAAAGAAAAAAGGGAGUAGUUGGCCACUUACUUGGGCCACAUACAACCCGUAUGUACUACAUACAGUCCGCAAGUGGACCCAGGUAAGUGCCCAAAAAAUUUAUUGUAGCCUUGCACUCUCUGGAUCUUUGAUUUUGUCACUUACCAUAGCCACUGAUGGUCUGCAAGUACUACAUAUGGUCCGUAAGUGGACCCAGGUAUGUAACACCUCAUAUUUUUGGGCUAGUUUAUGAACCAUCAUUCCUACAUGUAUAAGUUACAAUCCAAGUGAUUCUCAUAUAAAUAUAAUUGUAAUGAUCUUUAUGCUAGUGUGUAAAAUGCUCAUCAGGUUAAAAAUGUUCAUAGAAAUAAUUUAGAGCCAAGUUGAGCUAAGAUCCUUUGAUUCACCCAAAGUUUGGAAUUUAAUUCUAUAAGGGUCUACUUUAAACAUGUAUAACUUUUGAUUUAUAUGGAAUUUUUCAUAUCAAUACCUACCAAAAUAUAGAUAAUUGAGUUAUAUUUCCAAUGGUACUAAUUUCACCUAAAUCCAAUAACCGAGGGAAAAGUUAUACCAUUUUUCAUCUGAGGCAGUAAGGGGUCACGAUAGUCCCGUGACGCUAGGGCUUCUUGACCCAAAUAGGGGUCUCGUUGCAAGGUCUUCUUGACCCAACUAGGGUUCAUGACUCGGGGGCUAUUCCCCCAGAGUUUUAGCUUUUUAAGGUUCAAGGGUCUCUUUGGUCCUUUCCCCUCAACCCUAAACGUCCAAAGUACCAAUUUUAACACCCAAAAGGACAUUAUUUGCCAAUCUUCCUCAAAUCAACUCAUGUAAAAACCCUCCCCCUUUCCCAAGAACAAAAAUCAAAGAAUCACAAUUCAAGAACCUUUAAGAAAAUUUACUCUCUUUCAAGAUUCAAGCUUUUGAGGUAUGUUAGAUGUUCAUCCAUGGGCCCUUUCACCCAUGGAGUCCAAGAAUUCAACUUUUAUAUUUUAAAUCAUGAAAUUACAUGUUUAUAAUGAUUUAUCUCCAUGAAUCAUUUAUGAAUUUUGAUUAUACAUGAUGUUUACAAUAUAUUUUCAUUGAAAGCAACCCUAAUUACAUAUUUUAUGAAUUAUGUCUAUGAACUUACAAGAAGUUUGAAUCUUUACCAUGUUUCCAUGAAAUUGUUAGUGAUGUUAAACCUUACAUAUUUAAAUGGGGUUGUUUGUUGAACUUAACCCAAAAUUGGUGAUCUUAUAAAUAAGAUCAUGUUAUUUCUAUAAGUUUUAGAACUAUUCUCAUGCUUAGUUUAAACCAUGAAUUGCAAGCAUUUGAUGAAAUGCCUAAAUGAUUGGGUUUUGAACAAUGACUAAUUACAUAUUUACAAGUUAGGAUUUUAAAAUUUGUUUUCAAGUGGAAUGCAUUAUAGUAUAUUUUAAAUAUUAUAUUUUUCAUAUCAUGUUCAUGAGAAUUUCGGAAUAAAUCCUCAGUUUUAUGAUUUUGUCAUGUGAUCGUGCUAUCUCAUUAUGUUCAAAAGUAUUCUCAUGUUAGAGUCUUGACCCCCAUGUGUUUGAUAAUAUGCUUAAGUGAAUAAUUUUAAACAAUGAUCUCCUUCCAUGGUUUCAAAGUUUUCAUGUGACCCUGUUGUUAUUGUUAUCAAGUCCUAGGGGUUAUGAAUACCCAAAAUUUAGCUGUUUACUUAGACUCAGUAGUUUUAGAAUAGUUUCGGACACGUAUGAGCAUUAUCAGUUCAGUCCAUUAUCAUAUCAACCAAACUUAGAUCAGUUCAUUAACCCGAGUCAAUUCCCUCUUCAAUUAAGCUUAGCUCAAUCCCAAAAUCAGUGUCAGUUUAGUUAGGAGUAGGAUUCGGCACCGAGCGAGCCUAGGGAUGGGGGCUCACCCGUUAGUUAGGACUGGGUCCUUAAAAUCAAUCCCUAAGUUCCCAAACUAUAUAGGCAGCAUAGUUUAGGAGAUGUCACCUGUUAGUUAGGACUGACACUCUUAGGGAUCACCCGUUAGUUAGGACUGAUCUCAGGGGUCACCCAUUAGUUAGGAAUGACUCCUCAGCUAGUGUUAGUAUUCGUGGAAUGAUACUAACACCCUUCUAAUUUAGUUCAUAGGUUGGAUCCCAACUCAAUUUAUAAUUAGGGUAUGUCGAUUAGAUUAACACUCCCACAGUUAUAGUUUUAGUUUCAGUCUCAGUAUAGAACUCAGUUCAGUUCAACAGAACCAGGACUGUCAGACACAGUGACUUAGUAUCAGUAAUUUAAUUAUCAAUAAUCACAGAUACCAGUUAGUCAGUAUCAUAAAUCAGUACUCAGCUUCAGUAAAAGUUUAGAUACAAUAUACAUGUAUAUGCAUAGUAUUGCAUACUAAACAUUUUAUAGCAUUCUCAGUUAUUCAUGUACUCUUAUUCAGUUACGCUAUAUCAUUCAGUCAGUUACUGUUUAUGCAUAUGAACUCCCGCAUUCAUCCUUACCUCAUCUAGCAUACCAGUACAUUCCAUGUACUGGCGCAUACUUUCUCUUUGCACUAUGAUGUCUCAUAUUAUAGGUUCAGACACUCAGGUUCCUGACCGCGCUUAGAUGGAAUUAGAUAGCAAUAUCAGAUUUAGUAGUGAGUCCUCAUCUAUCGAGGAUAUGCUUUUAUUUUAGUAUUUCAAUAUUCAGAGCUAGUUAGGGGCUUGUCCCAUCAACUCCACAUCCAGAUAGUUCAGUUAGAGGCUUUUCAGACUAGACUAGUUCAGAAAGUAUUCAGAUGUUAUUAUCAAUUGCUAUUUAUCAGUAUUCAGAUUAUGAACCUUAUGGAAUUUCAGCCUAUUUUCCAUAUUAUUUUUGUAUUAUUAUUCAGUUCUCCCAGCAGGUACCAGUCAUGGGUUAGCUUGUGGUCCUUCGAGGUCAUAAGCAUCGUAUGGCGUCCGGGGUGCAGACUCGGGGUGUUACAAGGUAAGUGGCAAAAAAUUUUCUUGCACCAGAGUCUUAAAAUUCCUGUAACCAAGCCUCUGGACAACAAAUUUUGGUAUAUUAUUUGGUCACAUACGCCCGGUAAGUGCCACAUAUGCCUAAAAAUGCUCAAGUGGCCAAACACUUUAUUUUUCAUCUUUUUCUUAAACUUAUCAUUCAAACUCCAAUUUCCUGGAAAACAUACCCAAAACACAUUAUAUCAAACAAAACAACUUAAGAAUCAUGCAUAUUUUCAUAGUUUUAAGCAUCAAAAGUGUUAUAUAUUCAUAGCACAUUGUUCAACUUUCAUGCCAUUGUUUACACUUUCAAGAACGGAAAAGUGUAAGCCUAACAUAAUCUAUGGGGACUCCUGUUGGAAUUAACUUAUCACUGAUCUCAAGAAAAUUCUAAAGAUGGACCCUUGGGUCCUUAUGAGUCUUACCAGUAAACUGUCCACUCGUGUGCAACAAUUGCACCGCGUUGUGCUUCAGCUUAAAUCUACCUCCAGGUUUUAGUUUGUAGAAGUUGGAGGUAGCAUUAAUUAUGGGUGGGAUUGCCACUUUGCACAUUGUCCUUAGUGUUUCCAUGUCUUCAGGAACAACCUUGACAUGUUGAUCCUGCUCAACCUGAAGUAUUGGGUUGAGACGUUAGUUACUUUUCUCAAAUGGUGCUAGUGCUGCUCAGGUUUAGGAUCUGGUUGAACCAAAUCCUUAUUUCUUACCAGCUUACUGAAUGGUCUAACCUAACCUACAAGAUGAGUGUGUAAAACCAAGUUGUUAGCACUUACUAAAUAAAAAGCAAAACUUAAAACUAGAAAUCCACUAAUAUUUAAGACCCAUCUAAUGAUGCAAUAAACUUCUUAUAAUUGUUGCACACACAAGUGCACGUGGUCAAAUAAGUAGUAAAAUGACUAUUUUUUAGAGUCGGGUUGUUGUAUCCAAGGGACUUGAAGUUAGUUCAGUUCUAAUUUCAAUUAUACUUUUCAAUUUAACAAGUGCGAGUUUGUAAUAAGAUUAUGAGAUUUGUAAUUAUAAACCAAGUAACAAAAAUAACAAUGGCAUGAAAGUUGAAUAGUAAACAAUAUUUGGAGAGUUCCAAUAUUGAGGCAUCUACCUCACAUUCAUGCAAAACUAUGGUUUCUAGCCAGUGUUGGUGUUUAUUUUAUUAUUGAUCUAUGAGGUUGAUAAUAUAACUCAUGGAUGGUCACCCUCUAAGUUGUAUAUCAAAACUAGUAUCACAACUAAAUUGUUGACCAGGGAUGUGAGUAUCUAAUUUGAAUACAAUGAGUUAUCUUCACAUUUUAUUAACCAAGUGGUCGUUUAGGUAUAUCUCUACCAUAACCGCAAAUUUUUCCUUAACAAAGUAAAAAUAAGAUACACACUCCAUACUCUUUUCAUUCCACCUCUUGGAUUCCAUUGUUAGCCCACCUAAAUAUAUAGACUUAUCCUAAAUUUCAUGACAUUUUAUAAUAGUAAAGCAUGAAUGCAAAAAUAAUCACAUGACAAGACAAACAUAUAUAUCAAACUAAUAAACCACAACUAAGCAAUCAUGUUGUAGAAUCAAUCCUAUAAAGUGUGUGUCUAUACACUUAUAGCCUUGUAAGAAAGUCUUCAUAGAUGAGUUCACAAAGUAAAACUACAAAGAGAAUAAAGUAAAAAAGCUAAAAACCUUAAUGUGGAGCCCUUGAUGCCUUGUGUUCUCGACAAUGGUUUAAUGAUAAAAAAAAAUAUCUUGCAAUUGAGGAUAAGUGCUAUUUAUAUAGCUAUAAAAGUUGUGAAACCAAGUACCAAAGGUAUUAGAUAUAAUGAUAAUAUAACCCCUCAACAUAAACCAACAUAAAACCCAACUUUUAGACGUGUUUGGAGGGUGUGUGGCAUGCAAUUGAGUUCUAGUUUUGAGGGUCACAUUGCAUGGAUUAUUUGGAAGCCAAACCAGUACAUACUAUCUGUAUAGGGCGUGGAACAUAGUUGGGAUCGAGAUUUGGAGGGUGAGGCUCACCAUGUACUACACAACAUGCAAUUUUGUUUAAUCUUUGUUCUAUGCUUCUCGUCUAACUUGUUCCUUGUUUUCCCACUCAUCGUGGCUCAUGUAUCUUUUGUGAAGGCCUUAAUUGUCUUCCAUAUAUGCUCCAAUAUUCUCCUACAACAUAUCAUAUCAAAAUUAGGCCAUACAACACAAUAAAUUUCAUCAAAAGUACACUAGAACAAGCAUAGCUUAGCCCGGUUGAACUAGUUAACUCAUCAAAUCUCUAUUUGAUCAUUUUGGAUAUUGAAUGGAUUCAAAUGCAAUUUAAACACUCUAAACAUAAAUAUUAGAACAAAAAUAAACAAAGAACACUAAAUAUGCAUAGAAACACACCAAGUUAUCCUCAAAACUAAGCUAAAACGCGAGUAGAAGUUGUUGAUAAGCGUAUACUUGCACCUAUAAUCAUAACCCCACUGUUAAAGCCUUGUUUGACCUCGAACAACUCCUAAAAAUCAUAUACAUCAUGAAGGAAUCUAACAUGACUAAUUGAAACAAGACACUCAAUCUAGCACUCUAACGACUAUAAUAGGGAGCAAGUUCACAACAAGCAUGUAACAUGAUCAACUUUAAAUAUAGGAAUGUCUAUUCAAAACCUCCUAGACUCAAUAAUUUACAUUCAUAAAAUGAGAAAAUUCAUGCAUAUUACUCAACCAAAAAAAUCAUAUAAGUCACCUGUCCAUCAUUAAAUACACCCUAAUUACAAGAGAGUCACCCAUAUUCACUAACAAAUAUGCAAUUUAUCAUAAGAAUGGGUUAAUAGUCAAAUUCCACUCAUUCUCACAAAGAAUUCAUAUGUCACAUAAGAUGAACCAUAAGUUUUUCUUUGUUUAGUACUCCGCUAAUAUAAGAAUAUCAAAUAUCAAGAUCAAUUAGGACUCUAAGGUUGUAAUGUAGGCUAAGGGACGGGUAGGAGCUAUUUCGUCAAGAAUAGUAACUAAAUUUUCCAAGAAUUUUAAAACAUCACACUUUCCAUUAAGCUCAUAUUCAGCCAAAGAUUUAGACUCCUAUAACAUCAGUUCAUUCUAAAUACAUUAGAAGAUUCCUUACCACACACUUAAAAUUACAAUUUAAGAAUAAAGAAUAGAAAUACUCAUUAACACCUUUAGAUAAUAGCAUUAUAUCCAUCAAUAGGUGAGAAGGACCCCACAUUCAGAUUUUUCCAUGCUUCUUAGCUUAGAUCUUGGGUGCUCACCUUUUCCUUCAACCUAUAAACAUCAAACAAAAAUAAAAAUCAAAGGCGAUACUAAGAAAAUGAAAAAUAAAAAUAAACUAUCUUAGCUUGGGUUGCCUCCCAAGCAUCGCCUAAUUUAGUGUCUGGCAUAACUCACAUCACGACUAUUGUCCAUAACCUCUCAUCCCUUUCUAACCUUUUGGGCCUACAUUUUUCUUCUUUUUUGAACUCUUGAGUUCUUACACUCCAGUUUUAUAGAUUUUCUCACAUCUACAUUAUUAGGAUUCCAUUUAAUAUUUUUAGUCUUAGGCUUAGUGAUAAAAUUUGGAAACUCUAUGAGAGAGUUCAAAGAGGUUAUUGUAUUAUUGUACCCCACUACCCCAUACUGAUUUACUUCAAUAACUAAAAUCAUGCAUAGGUCUAUGUAGUUUGAAGGUGUGUUAAUUACUUUUUACACUAUGAAAAAUACAUCUUCAUCAUUCAUUCUCAUCUUAAGUGUGCACUUUAUAACUUCUAUCAAAGCUCCACUGGUAUCUAAGAAUUAAUGUCCAAGUAUGAUUGGUACCAUGUCAUUUGCAUCAUAGUCAAAAACAAUAAAAUCAGUAGGAAUAAUAAACUUACCAAUAUUAAUGAUAACAUCCAUAAUAAUUUCUUUGAGGACCACUCAGCUUCCAUCUGCUAUCUGUAGCACAACUGAAGAGGGCCUUGGUUUUACCAAACUAAUAUUAUUAAGAACUGAAAGAGGCAUUAAGUUAAUGCUUUCCCCCAAAUCAUUUAGAGCUUACAUAAUGUAACAUUCACUAAUUUUUAUGGGGAGGGUGAAACCCCUAGGGUACUUGAAUUUUUUAGGCAUCUUUCUCAUAACCAUAAAAUUUCACUCCUCAAUAAGUGAAAAAGUCCCAUAUCUCUAAGAUUUUUCUUAGUUUCCACCACAUCCUUUAAGUAUUUAGCAUACUUAGGCAUACCCUGCAAUCAUGUGAUAAAGGAAUGUUAAUGUGGAGUUCCUUGAUUAUAUUAAGGAACUUCUUGAAACAUGCAUCCUCAUGUGCUUUCAUGAGAUUUUUCUGAAAUGGUGGUGGUGGUCUCUUUGGUGCUUUCUUAGUCGGCUUAUCAGUAGGGUACUCAGAAUUCCCCUUCUUCUUAGCUUCUUUUCCUAGAGAUUACCGCUUAAUCUGCUUGGUAUGAUCAACUCUACUUGCACCUCAUGAUUCUUCUUUGAGGGAUCAUCUAUCAAGUCGCUACCAUUCCUCAAAAUGAUUUCCAUAGCAUGCUUUAGAUUCUACUUUGUACGAUCUGGCAAACCCCCUUGAGGUCUUACAUUCUAAGCCUGUGCCAAUAGUUUAACUUGCUCUUCUAGAUUCUAGAUGGAAAGUUUUUGAUUUUUUAGCUUUGCAUCCAUAUUUACUUACUCAGUCAUAAUCUUUUUGAGCAUCUCUUCAAGAUUGCUAGACUAAGCUUGCUGCUAAAAUUUUUGUGCCUAAUUUCCACCAUAUACAUUGUUGGGCUGAGUCUAAAAAUUUUGAUUAUAGGAGUUACCAAAAUGUUGGUUUCUUCUUUGCGUAUUUCCUACAAAAUUUGACUAACUUUACAUUUUCUCCACACAGGUCUAUUUAAUGAUCACUACCUCUAUAAACUUCAUACAAAACCUGCAUUUCCUGAACCUCCCGCAUAGUUUGAACCACAUUAGUUUGAGCUUGGCCUUGAGACAUGAUCAGUUUGUUGAGUUGAAUUAUUAUCUGGUUCUUAAAAGUAGAUAACUGUGCAUCUAAUUCUGUGAUUACAUCUCCUUUAGAUGAGACUGAAAUAUUCUUUGUUCCAGAUCUCGAAACAUCACUAUGCCUAUUCAGAUUACCCUGUGUAAUUUUGUCCAAUUGAGUGUACAAUUCUGUAUAUGUUUAUCCAAAUCUUGAACACCUAUAUCUAAAUCUAUCAAAAUCUUUAUGUGUGGGUCAAUACUUUGAAAAAAAAUUAUGAUCUAAUACCUCACUAGAUUGAUGAUGAUGUGGGAAAUCUUUGAGAAGAACUUUGGAAAUAAUUUGAAGUUUGCUGAAGUUGAGGAUCUCACUUCUCAAUUUUACAUUCUUAACAUAUGGAAAUAAUUUUUAUUAGGAACUUUGCUGCAAGAUCAUCAAAUAUGUGAUUGAGUUUGUAGUCUUUCCAUUUAACCCUGUCUUAGUUUCUUCUAAAAGUGAGAAUGGGAAAAGUGUAAGCCUCACAUAAUAUAGGGAGAACCCUAUUAGAAUAAAUGUGUCACUAAUCUCAAGAAAAUUUGAAUAUGGACCAUAGGGUUCUUUUAUGCCUGACCAUUUUAUUGUCUACUUGUUUGCAACAAUUUCACCAUGUUCUGACUCAGCUCAAAUCUACCUCUUCGGUUUGCAGAUGGUGGAGUUAACAUUGAUAGCGGGUGCGACUGCUACUUCGCGCACUAUCCUUGGGGAUUCCAUGACUUCAAGAACAACCUCGAUAUGUAAAUCCUACUCAACCUAUAAUAUUGGGUAGAAAAGUGCAACUGUACUUCUUAAAUGGUGCAAGCUUUGCUCAGGUUCUGGAUCUGGUUUAACCAAAUCCUUUAUUCCUUGCUAGCUUACUGAACUAACAAACUUGUACCUAUAAUAUGAG